AUUGAACGCUGGCGGCAGGCUUUACACAUGCAAGUCGAGCGAGCGGCGGACGGGUGAGUAAUGUAUCGGGACCUGCCCGGUAGCGGGGGAUAACUACUGGAAACGGUGGCUACUACCGCCUACUAUUGGAUCAACCCAUAUGGGAUUAGCUAGUAGGUGGGGUAAAGGCUCACUAAGGCGACGAUCCCUAGCUGGUUUGAGAGGAUGAUCAGCCACACUGGGACUGCGACACGGCCCAGACUCCUACGUGAGGCAGCAGUGGGGAAUUUUGGACAAUGGGGGCAAGCCUGAUGCAGCCAUGCCGCGUGUAUGAAGAAGGCCUUAGGGUUGUAAAGUACUUGCGGCGGGGAGGCGGUACCUGCAGAAGAAGCACCGGCUAACUCCGUGCCAGCAGCCGCGGUAAUUC
rnacentral:rRNA from 1 species